rnacentral:rRNA from 1 species
GUGGGAGUAGCUGUCUUCCAGGCACAUGUGGAACUUAUCUUAUAGGUGAACAGACCUUUUUUUGACUUCGGGACGGGUAGACCCCGAUGAACUUGAUAGCGGUGUGCAAUUUUUCGUGGAGGUUAUAAUUUACUCUGCGCUUUGUUGUGCCUUCUUCGGUUGGGAAAACCGGGGGAAUGAUGAAAUUCUGCUUGUUGUUUUGUUUGGGAUAACUAUGGAGACCUUUGGGUGAGGGAAUUGGUAUAUGAGACUGUUGGAAAAAGAAAAGUUACCGCGGGGAUAACAGCACUGUCUCCUCGGAGAGAAUACAUUGCAGAGGGGGUUUGUGACCUCGAUUUUGGAUCAUUUGAUUCUGGGCGGUAAAGAGGCUGCUUUGGGAGGGACUGUUCGUCCUUGAAAUUUUU